UGGCUCAGUGGUUAAGAGCACUGGCAGCUCUCCCAGAGACCUGGGUUCAAUUCCCAG
rfam:Mus musculus chromosome 17, GRC primary reference assembly.